rnacentral:rRNA from 1 species
AGGGAAUCUUGCGCAAUGGGCGAAAGCCUGACGCAGCCAUGCCGCGUGAAUGAUGAAGGUCUUAGGAUUGUAAAAUUCUUUCACCGGGGAAGAUAAUGACGGUACCCGGAGAAGAAGCCCCGGCUAACUUCGUGCCAGCAGCCGCGGUAAUACGAAGGGGGCUAGCGUUGCUCGGAAUUACUGGGCGUAAAGGGCGCGUAGGCGGAUAGUUUAGUCAGAGGUGAAAGCCCAGGGCUCAACCUUGGAAUUGCCUUUGAUACUGGCUAUCUUGAGUUCGGGAGAGGUGAGUGGAAUGCCGAGUGUAGAGGUGAAAUUCGUAGAUAUUCGGCGGAACACCAGUGGCGAAGGCGACUCACUGGCCCGAUACUGACGCUGAGGCGCGAAAGCGUGGGGAGCAAAC